CUGGACGUUCGUGCGGAGGGACACAAAGGUAACACAGGGACGCCCGGGGUGGGCCAAUCCAGGCCAGGCCACCACUGUGGUCCCACUUGGACAGCCCUACGUCCCCUCCCUGGGGGUGUGUGUGUGUGUGUGUGUGUGUGUGUGUUAGUGUGUGUGUGCAUGUGUGUGUGUGUGUGUGGAAGGGUGGUUUGUGUGAGUGGACCACCGCGAGGAGGAGCAGGCUGAUGAGGGGUUAGAAGCCUGGUGGGCCGGGCCCAUUCCCACCCCAGUUCAUGGCUGAUCGGGUGGGACGUGGAGUGCCGGGAAGCACCGUCUGCCCGAGGUUUCUCCCGAGCCCCUGAGGUCUAUCUGUUUCAUCCCGGGGAGAAUUCUGCACAGACACAGGGUGGUGCCUGAUGUGGGAGCAUUAGGGGCAGAGGGCAGAAGAAAGAGCAGGGGCAGCUGAGCAGGGCUCUGAUGCUUCUGGGCUGACUGUUGGUCACUGUCUUUGCAGAGGUCCACUCGGGACACGGAGUCCAGCUCCCCGAGGGAGGAGAAGCUGGGCAGGAACAGCGUAGUGGCAGGCGUGGGGAAAAGGCUGCCGUCCUCAGGGACUGUUGGACAAGGAUCAGAGCCAGCACAGGCCCCAGCCCGUGUGCGGGGAGCACAAUCACCUCCAGCAGCUCCUGCACAAGGGCAGGAGACAAGCGACGCCCCAGGACGGGAGCAGGGAGAGCCAGCCCCUCCUCAGGCUCAGGCAGGAGGCAUGCAGCUGGCUCUCAUGGAACCAGCUGAGCAUGGAGAGCCAUCCCCUGCUCAGGCUCCUGCCAGUGCCCUGGGGCAGGCUGAAGUGGUCGCCAGGGAGCAGGGAGAGCCAUCGCCUGCUCCGGCUCCUGCCAGUGCUCUGGGGCAGGCUGAAGUUGUCGCCAGGGAGCAGGGAGAGCCAUCCCCUGCUCUGGCUCCUGCCAGUGCCCCGGGGCAGGCUGAAGUGGUCGCCAGGGAGCAGGGAGAGCCAGCCCCUGCUCCAGAGCCUCCUGGAGCCCUGGAGCCCUCUCAGGCCCCAGCAUUGUCCCCGGGAGAGCUCACUCUCCAACCCCCAUCAUCCCCAGCUCCUGAGCCAUCCCUUCCACCUGCUCCCUCACCAGGACCUCCCUUCCUCUCCCUGCUUCCCCUGUAUGUCUGUGUAGCCGUUUAUGUUGCUCGUUUUCUUGUCUUUUUUUGGUGUUUAUGUAAAUUGUAAAAUAAAUUUCUUUAUAUUUUAAGAACUCUGCAUUUUCUCCUUUUCAAGUGUACAAUUCCCGAGCGUUAAGUACAGUCCCAAUGCUCGGCCUCCAUCACCACUGUCCGCUUGCUGAACAUUCCCUUCACCACAAGGGAAGCCUUUUCCCAAAGCGCUCAUGCCUCAUUCCUCCUUCGCUCCCUGACAACGCCUAUUCUGUGUUCUGGCAGGUUUUUGUCAGUCUUUUCUGGAUGGCUCCUAUCAGUGGAAUCAUGCAAUAUUUUCAGAAGCACUGAUCGAAAGCAGCCGUGUCAGGAGCCUCUUGUGGUCCACAGGCGUGCUGGGGGCGGGGACCCCCACGUGUGCUGCCGGCAGGGCUGCUCUGUGUGCCUGGCCGGGGACAGGAGGCCCGGCUGCCCCGAGGGAGAGAGGACUGGGAGCCCCGCCACACCCAGGGGGGCAGGAGGCCAGGGCUGUGUCCAUGCCGAGCAGGGCUGAUGCAGUUCCUGCGCAACCCUCACGGGACAGUUGGGAAGCUGAGGCCAGGGGAAACAGGGACCGGCCCUGGGCCCACGAGGUGGGCAGAAUCCAGAGGAGAAGCGAGGCUUCCAGGCCCCUGGGCCAGCUCUAGCAUCCCAGGAGAUUGGCCUUGGGAAGGAGAGCCCCUAAGAUCCUGGGGGACCUCUGUCCACGCCCUCCCAUUGGGGGCCCUUUCCUUUGGGCAUCCGCACCUGGGCGCACACUCACUCUCACACUCACACACACUCUGCCUGCCCAGGGUGGGGGUCAGGAGGGGAGUGCACACUGGGGAGGUGACAGCUGGAAAGAAGAAAGAGGUUGGAGGUGGCUCUGCCUCGGCCCAGGGGUUUCCAGUCCCCUAGCAACAUGCCCAGGUCUGCAGCAUGAGGAGGAGAGAUGCCUGACAAGGUCUGGGGUCCUGUGUCCACCACUCUGGGCACCUGGAUGGAGGAUGUCCCCGCCCCCAGUGUGGAAGGGGCUAGUGGAUGGAAGGCCUGAGGUUACUCCUCCGUCAAUUGAGGAGCCUAGAGGAGUGACUCCAAGGACCCCACAAGCUUGUAGAAGAGUCUAUCGAUCUCAGUUGUCCAUCCAUGACCCACCGUGCUCCGAGGCCUUGGACUGGGCCUUCUAGUCCCUCGAGGCCUUUCUGGGCAGAGGGCAGCCUGAGCUGUAGGUGGGCUGGGCACCUGGCUCCUGCAGAACGUGGCAGAGCACAGGACCCCUCCUCUGGAGAGCAGGACCGAGGCCAUCCUUGUUGGAGCCUCGGGGCCCUCAUUUGGACUUGGAGUGGAGUCAGUGCCCUGGCUGCAGUGAGGAGGCCUCGAGGGGAAAGUGCACACGUCGGGGCCAGUGCAGGGAGAGAGGGAGCAAGAGAGGCUUCGCAGGUCCCUCACAUCACCCCCGGAGCCUGCACGGCCUUCUCCUUUGCGCCCUGGGCCCUGCUGGAACCGCUGCCUCCAGGCCCCGAACCAAGGUGUGUCUUUCAUGGCCUGCUUUCCUGCCUGUUGCUGCAAUGCUGGGCCUGACCACCAGGGGCUUGGUGGCCACUCGUGCUCGUGCUCAGAGGAGUAACUGGAAGAGGGAAGGCACACUCUGCGGUCCUUCUGGGGGUUCCCCUGGCCAAAGCAACAGGUACCUUUCAUGAUUGGCGCCCAUGGCCACGAUGGGAGGUGCUCAGAGGCGGAAGGGGGCUCUGAGGUCAUCCCCUUCUUUCAGCUGCUGUGGGCACUGCGCUCACUCUGGGAAGGCGCGGUGUGAGCCUGGGGGCGGUUCUGAAAGCCCUCACGCGGCCCGUGUCCUCCAGGACCUCACCGCCUGCAAGGGGAAGGGACCGAGUGAGGGAAGCAAAUCCAUGUGGAAAAGACGCGCAGGUGCUAGAGGGCAAGGAAGCAGGGUGCUGGAGGGAGGGCCUGCAGCCCUGAGGUGGGUCGAAAGUCCUCUGAGCGGACAUUGGUGCCACGAGCAGAAGGACACGAAGAGCCAGCCCUGCACACAGCCGGGUGCAGUGUGCCAAGGGAAGCUCCGAGGGCCAGAUACUCGGAGGCGCAAGGGAAUCUGGCCAAGAGGAGGUGAGAAAGGAGCUAGAGUGGCUGCAGAGAGCUGGGGAGGAGAGGAGGCUGGAGGGGAGGAGGGCAGGGCCAGACUCAGGCCUGGAAGGAGCUCCUAGCUGUCUAGGCUGGGUGUGAGCACCACCCUAACUUAGUACUCGUAAGAACAAACAGGUACCACCUCCUCGUUUCUCUCCCAGGAUCCAGGCUCAGCUCUGCUAGGAACCUCUGCCUCCAGGUCUCCCGGGAGGCUGAGGCUGCAGGCUCAACGGAGGCUAGAGGGGCGGGGGCUGUCUCGGACACCACUGUCUGCCUAUUGGCAGGACGCCAUUUGGAUGGAUUUGGGAGUCUUUUCCAU
ensembl:lncRNA